UGCUCAUCCAGGUUAUCUGUCAGACCAGCCACCGAGGCUCUGCUCACAAACAUGUAAAUGCAGAUCAGGUACUUACGCAGUGCGGGAUGCCUGGUACCCACAGUGUCAUCAUCGAUGCCUUUUGUCAGUUUAGCGGGUGACAAACAGCCUUUCCAUUGAGUUUGGAUCUUUUGGCCUAACCCAGACACUUAGGCAGUGGAACUUGAUUGCUGCAGCCGGAGCUGGCUGGUACACCCCCAGAGUGGCUGAUGACCCGAACAAGGGACUUCUAGACAACCGUUUCCUGAUCUGUAAAAUGGGGUUAUUACCCUACUUGCCACGGACCUGCAGCUCAGGGCUUCAAGACAUGGAAAUGGUCCCCACUGGCUCCCUGGUGCACCCAGAAGUCCUGGGUUCUAGCCAUCUGGACGUGUUUCCCAGGGUCUCAUACACCCAAGACCAAGGCCAUUCCCCUCCUGUCGUUCAGUGGGGAUUCCUGAACUUCUCUGAGCCUCAGUUUUCUCAGCUGUUCAAUGAGAAGAGGUGUCAGUACCACGAUAUCUAGUGAUACUUUGAUUCUGGUGUUUUGUGGUGUGCUUUGAAAAAGACAACCAGAUAAAUGUGUUCAUUCCCUGCAAACAAUGGCGACAAAUGAGUCCAUUAACUUCUCUGGUGCGUUCACUUCUCUGUAAAGAGAUUUCCCCCAGAAAGCAAUUGGGAGGUGGAAACCUGCAAACUGAGCUGUCAGUAUAUUAAGCCACUCUGUCUUUAAAAGUCAAUUAUUUGCCGGUAGCUGUUGUACUUGCUAGGACUGUUGCUGCCGCCUGUUGCAAGGUGAUAGAUUAGAAAAUAGUCAUCUUUCAUUCAAAUGCUGCGUGGCCAAAGGGCUGAGGUCACUUCGACAAAGGGAUUCCAGACACCUUCUGAGAGUGCCACGGUGCUGGGUAUCUUAGUUACUCUUCUAGUGCUGUGACAAAAUAUCAUGACCAUGAUGACUUAUGAAAGAAAGCAUUUAAUUUGGCUUACAGUUACAGGGGAUGAGGGCUCAUGAUGGGAAACUGAAGGGACAGGUUGGAUGUCAAUCCACAAACUCAAAGCAGAGAGAGGUGGAUAUACACAAUGGAAAUGGUGUGAGUCUUGAAACCUAAAAACCUACCCAGUGACACGCCUCCCCAAUAAGGCCACACCUCCGAAUCCUUCCCAGAUAAUUCCAAACACUGGGAGCCAAUUAUUCAAAUAUAUAAGCCUAUGGGGCCAUUUUCAUUAAACCACUAUAUUGGGCAUAAAGUCAUCCUGACCCAAUAUAAUAUUCAUCUGCCCAGGGGCAGCUACCAGGCUUCAGGUAACUUGCUUCAUAAUUCCAAGUCUGCUAAGUGGCCAUAAUGAUAGCAUCUAUCUCACAAAUCUGUGGGGACCCAGGUCACAGUGUAUGUAGAAACCUAGCACAUAUUAAAAGUUCAGUAGAGAUAGCUAAUAUAUUUCCGUUGUUGUUGUUGCUGCUGCUGCUGCGGCUGCUGCUGCUACAUCAAAUACCUGAAGCUGAGUGCUUACAUAGAAAAGUUACUUAGCUCGUAUUUAGGGGCUGAAAGUCCACAAUAAGGAAUCUCCCCCAUUCAGCCUCCAGUGAGGGCCUCCCUUGGUUAUUUCACACUAGGGUGGAUAGCAUCACGGAAGGAACUCUUGAAGGAGGAUGAGUUUUCACGGUGAGACAGAAGCCAGAAACCAUGGAGGGAACAGCCUUGCUACUUAAAGACCAUUUCUCACUGGAAAUAACUCACUCCUCAAGACUCACAUAAAUUCUUUCCAUGGAUGACAGCCUCAUCUAAUGACCUCACACUAGGCUCUACUUGCCAAAAGUUCCUCCCCUUGUUAACACUGCCACAUCUACAACCAACUUUGAACCCAACAUUCAUCAGGGCAAAUACUAGCCAAGCCAGAGAAUCAUUUCAAGCUGACUGCCUUUUCUCUAGUGCCCAGCAGAGUGGCAAGUUCAAGCAAGACCUCUAGCAGGCAAAGACUGAAUUGGUGACAGGAACCUGCUGACUCCAUCUCUAGCUUAUUCUGAGAGUCAUUCUCAGUUACCCAGCAGCCAGGGACCUAAGGAGCCUGACAGGGGAAGAGCCCCUUACAAAGAGACAACAGAUCUGCUGCCUGGGUGCUGUGUCACACUGCAGAGGACACAGGACAGAGGACAAAGGACAGGAAUGCUCCUGGAUCAAGCCUCUGUCCCUUGGGAUAAGCCGCUUCCUCCAUUCUGGGAACAAGGGCAAUAUCCAAUCAAAUCCAUGUGGACCCUUGCCUGUGGACCCCCCAUGAAAGGCUUAGACAUUUGUUUUCUUUACACCUUUAAUUCCAGUGCCUGGGAGGCUGAGGCAGGGGGAUUGCAAGUUUAAGGUCAGUCAGAGCAACAUGGAAAGAUCCUGUCUGAGAGAAAGGAAGAGGGAGAAGAGUAGAAACAGAGAAAGAAAUGUUUAGUUGUGGUAAGAUAUCCUAACAGUCAAAUAUCCAGCUUCAAAGCUAAUUUUGAAUGGCCUUCUCCCCCCUGCCCCCUUAUGAGGACUGGUUUGUAUAUGUAUAUUUUCCCAAAUAGAUUACAUUCCUGGGAUUUCACAUGCAUUUUUUAUCUGCUGAGAGGACUCAAUCAGCACUCCUUGGAGGUACAGGACACUCAACCCAGCUGUUUGGGUGAGUGAGGGGACCAGGUAACACAAAAAUAUAAGGAAGAGAGAGAAUUGUUGUCCUCCAGCCGUAUUAAGUGUCCUCUCCCAUGCCUCUGGCCCACCACAGUUAGCAGCUUCUCUGGCUUAAGAAACAGGCCUGGGGGCUUCGUGCCAGCCACAAGGGCAGUGAAACCUUCUUCAAAGGCCAAGCCCCAGAGGCAGAGCCCCAGAUCCAGCAUGGCUGAGACUUUCACACAUUUCUGUCUUCUGUCUCCUGUGAAUGGUGACAUACAGUUGGGCACUUUAAACUACUAGCCAGUAGUUAUUCCAACAUUGACUGGAACUCGAAGGCAAGGAAAGGAAGGGGGCUUCAAGAGCAAUGUGGGAGUGAGCCCCUGUACACAGGGACACAGACCAGCCCUUGCAGCUGGUUUCUAUUUUCCUUCUUAGCUGUUGGGGGUUCCUACCACAGUCAUGUGAUUUCUGUGAUUAGAACCAGAAUGAGCAGGAAUGGGCAGACGGGGCAGCCCCAAGAAGUGAGGCAGGUGCACAUGUUACUUCUAAACUUCUUUACAACCCCACAGGAUGAGGCUAUAGAGAUGGCUCAGUGGUUAAGAGAACUGGCUGCCAUUCCCUAGGACUCAGGUUGAUUCCUAACUCCCAUAUGGAAGUUCAAAC